ACAGCAGCCGCCACGGUAAUACGUAGGUGGCAAGCGUUGUCCGGAAUUAUUGGGCGUAAAGGGCUCGCAGGCGGUUUCUUAAGUCUGAUGUGAAAGCCCCCGGCUCAACCGGGGAGGGUCACUGGAAACUGGGAAACUUGAGUGCAGAAGAGGAGAGUGGAAUUCCACGUGUAGCGGUGAAAUGCGUAGAGAUGUGGAGGAACACCAGUGGCGAAGGCGACUCUCUGGUCUGUAACUGACGCUGAGGAGCGAAAGCGUGGGGAGCGAACAGGAUUAGAUACCCGCGUAGUCCCUGUCUCUUAUAC
rnacentral:rRNA from 1 species